UGAGGCAGGAGAAUUGCUUGAACCCAGGAGGUGGAGGUUGCAGUGAGCCGAGAUCGAGCCACUGCACUCCAGCCUGGGUGACAGAGUAAGACUCCAUCUC
rnacentral:miRNA from 1 species